GACGGAGGUCCCGAGCGUUGUUCGGAAUUAUUGGGCUUAAAGCGCGUGUAGGCGGAGCGGCAAGUCCUUUGUGAAAUCCCCGGACUCAAUCCGGGAACUGCUUGGUAUACUGCCGUUCUCGAGGCAGGUAGGGGUCACUGGAACCUUAGGUGGAGCGGUGAAAUGCGUAGAUAUCUAAGGGAACGCCUGUGGCGAAAGCGGGUGACUGGGCCUGUCCUGACGCUGAGACGCGAAAGCGUAGGGAGCAAACGGG
rnacentral:rRNA from 1 species